UACGUAGGGUGCGAGCGUUGUCCGGAAUUAUUGGGCGUAAAGGGCUCGUAGGCGGUUUGUCGCGUCGGGGAGUGAAAACUCAGGGCUUAACCCUGAGCCUGCUUCCGAUACGGGCAGACUAGAGGUAUGCAGGGGAGAACGGAAUUCCUGGUGUAGCGGUGAAAUGCGCAGAUAUCAGGAGGAACACCAGUGGCGAAGGCGGGUCUCUGGGCCGAAACUGACGCUGAGGAGCGAAAGCGUGGGGAGCAAACAGG
rnacentral:rRNA from 1 species